rnacentral:rRNA from 1 species
CAGUCGUACCUUCGGGUAAUCAGCCUUUCGGGUGCGAUUCUGUGGAGUGUGAGGAGCUUAACACCUUCAUGCUUUGCAUAUUUGUGCUCUUGGGUGUACUUGCCCGUGUGGUUGGUUAACAUCAAUUUUGGUUAUCAUAAAAUGAUUGGAGGAAUGUAGCUUCGAUCUCGUAUUGAAGUGUUAUAGCCUUCGGUAGAUGUGAUGAUCGAGAUUGAGGAUUGCAACGGAUACCCUUCGGGGCUACCUGUCUGGUCUCUGAUCGUUGCUCUGGUGCCGAAAGCUUGCUUACGGUUAUCAAAGUCGAUGGUCAAUAGGUUAGAACGUGAUUAAA